GUCUAGCAUAUCAAUAAGCGGAGGAAAAGAAACCAACAGGGAUUGCCCUAGUAACGGCGAGUGAAGCGGCAACAGCUCAAAUUUGAAAUCUGGCGUCUUUGGCGUCCGAGUUGUAAUUUGCAGAGGGCGCUUUGGCGUUGGCAGCGGUCUAAGUUCCUUGGAACAGGACGUCACAGAGGGUGAGAAUCCCGUACGUGGUCGCUGGCCUUCGCCGUGUAAAGCCCCUUCGACGAGUCGAGUUGUUUGGGAAUGCAGCUCUAAAUGGGAGGUAAAUUUCUUCUAAAGCUAAAUACUGGCCAGAGACCGAUAGCGCACAAGUAGAGUGAUCGAAAGAUGAAAAGCACUUUGGAAAGAGAGUCAAACAGCACGUGAAAUUGUUAAAAGGGAAGCGCUUGCAGCCAGACUUGCCUGUAGUUGCUCAUCCGGACUUCUGUCCGGUGCACUCUUCUAUAGGCAGGCCAGCAUCAGUUUGGGCGGUUGGAUAAAGGUCUCUGUCAUGUACCUCUCUUCGGGGAGAACUUAUAGGGGAGACGACAUGCAACCAGCCUGGACUGAGGUCCGCGCAUUUGCUAGGAUGCUGGCGUAAUGGCUGUAAGCGGCCCGUCUUGAAACACGGACCAAGGAGUCUAACAUCUAUGCGAGUGUUUGGGUGUCAAGCCCGAACGCGUAAUGAAAGUGAACGGAGGUGGGAACCUUUCGGGGUGCACCAUCGACCGAUCCUGAUGUCUUCGGAUGGAUUUGAGUAAGAGCAUAGCUGUUGGGACCCGAAAGAUGGUGAACUAUGCUUGAAUAGGGUGAAGCCAGAGGAAACUCUGGUGGAGGCUCGGCAGCGGUUCUGACGUGCAAAUCGAUCGUCAAAUUUGGGCAUAGGGGCGAAAGACUAAUCGAA
rnacentral:rRNA from 1 species